rnacentral:rRNA from 1 species
GUCUUUUAGAAUUAAAUUAAAAGUUUAACCUGCCCAUUGAUUUUUUUAAAAGGCUGCGGUAUUUUGACCGUACAAAGGUAGCAUAAUCAUUAGUUUUUUAAUUGAAAACUAGAAUGAAUGGUUGGAUGAAAUAUUGACUGUUUUAAUUAAAAUUUUAGAAUUUUACUUUUUAAUUAAAAGGUUAAAAUAAAUUUAAAAGACGAGAAGACCCUAUAGAGUUUAAUAUUUAUUUAUUUUUAAUUGAUUUAGUUUAAUUUUUAUUAAAUAUAAUUAAAUAUUUUGUUGGGGUGAUAAUAAAAUUUUAUGAACUUUUAUUUAUAAAAUCCAUUAAUAUAUGAAUUUUUGAUCCAUUAUUAAUGAUUAUAAGUUUAAAUUACCUUAGGGAUAACAGCGUAAUUUUUUUUUUAAGUUCUUAUUAAUAAAAAAGAUUGCGACCUCGAUGUUGGAUUAAGGUUAAUUUUAGGUGCAGAAGUUUAAAAUUUAAGUCUGUUCGACUUUUAAAUUCUU